rnacentral:rRNA from 1 species
CGAGCGGCGGACGGGUGAGUAAUGCCUGGGAAAUUGCCCUGAUGUGGGGGAUAACCAUUGGAAACGAUGGCUAAUACCGCAUAAUAGCUUCGGCUCAAAGAGGGGGACCUUCGGGCCUCUCGCGUCAGGAUAUGCCCAGGUGGGAUUAGCUAGUUGGUGAGGUAAGGGCUCACCAAGGCGACGAUCCCUAGCUGGUCUGAGAGGAUGAUCAGCCACACUGGAACUGAGACACGGUCCAGACUCCUACGGGAGGCAGCAGUGGGGAAUAUUGCACAAUGGGCGCAAGCCUGAUGCAGCCAUGCCGCGUGUAUGAAGAAGGCCUUCGGGUUGUAAAGUACUUUCAGCAGUGAGGAAGGUGGUGUACUUAAUACGUGCAUCAUUUGACGUUAGCUGCAGAAGAAGCACCGGCUAACUCCGUGCCAGCAGCCGCGGUAAUACGGAGGGUGCGAGCGUUAAUCGGAAUUACUGGGCGUAAAGCGCAUGCAGGUGGUUUGUUAAGUC